rnacentral:rRNA from 1 species
GGAGACGGGGUAAAUCCGAAUAAAAUAAAGUUCUAGAUAGAAUUUUGAUAAUGACAUUUUCUAUCUAUGUCUUGACCAAAGAACGUGCCAGCAGUCGCGGUAAAACGUUGAAGACUAGUGUUAUUCAUCUUUAAUAGGUUUAAAGGGUACUUAGACGGUAUAUUAAGCCCAAAAAGGGUACUAAUAUACUAGAGUUUGAUGUGAGAGGGGGAGUACUAGUGGAGUAGAGAUGAAAUUUUAUUAUACCAUUGGAACAGGUAGCGGCGAAAGCAACCCUUUAUGUAAAAACUGACGUUGAAGGACGAAGGCUUGAGACACCAACAGGAUUAGAUACCCUAGUAGUUCAAGCAGUCAAUGAUGAAUGUCAUAGAUUAGAUUAAUUUUUGUCUAUAAAUGAAAAUGUAAGCAUUCCACCUCAAGAGUAAUGUGGCAACGCAGAAACUGAAAUCAUUAGACCGUUUCUGAAACCAGUAGUGAAGUAUGUUGUUUAAUUCGAUAAUCCGCGAAAAACCUUACCACAAUUUGAAUAUUUUUGUUUUUAUAAUUAUACAAGCGUUGCACGGCUGUCUUCAGUUAAUGUCGUGAGAUUUUGGUUAGUUCCAUUAAAUUAACGCAAACCCUUACUUUAUUUAUUUUUAUAAAGUAGUUCACCGCUAUAUUGGAUAUGAUAAAUGGGACCAAGACAAGUCAUCAUGGCCUGAAUAUUGUGGGCUA